GGACCCGUGGUGUAGCGGUUAACAUGCCUCUCUGUCGAAGAGGAGAUCGCCGGUUCGAAUCCGGUCGGGUCCGCCA
rnacentral:tRNA from 1 species